rnacentral:rRNA from 1 species
UAUUGAAUAAACUUGGUUAGGUUGUUGCUGGCUUUUAGGAGCAUGUGCACGCCGACUCCAUCUUCAACCACCUGUGCACCUUGCGUAGAUCUGAACAUUUCGAGGAAACUCGGUUUAGGAAUUGCUGUGCGUAAGCCAGCUUUUCUUGUAUUUAGGUCUAUGUUUUCACAUACCCCAUAUGAAUGUAUACGAAUGUUGCAAUUGGCCUUGUGCCUUUAAAAAACAAAUACAACUUUCAACAACGGAUCUCUUGGCUCUCGCAUCGAUGAAGAACGCAGCGAAAUGCGAUAAGUAAUGUGAAUUGCAGAAUUCAGUGAAUCAUCGAAUCUUUGAACGCACCUUGCGCUCCUUGGUAUUCCGAGGAGCAUGCCUGUUUGAGUGUCAUGAAAUUAUCAACCUCUCUAGUUUCUGACUGGUUAGGCUUGGAUCAUGGAAGUUGCUGGCUCGCUUUGAAUCAGCUCUUCUUAAAUAUAUUAGCAAAGACUUUUGCUGACUAUCUUUGAUAUGAUAAUUAUCUAUAUCAUCGAUAACCAGUUCCCUUUCAUGGGGAGGUCUUGCUUCUAAUAGUCUUUCAGACAAUUUGAUAACUUUGACCUCAAAUCAGGUAGGACUACCCGCUGAACUUAAGCAUAUCAAUAAGCGGAGGAAAAGAAACUAACAAGGAUUCCCCUAGUAACUGCGAGUGAAGCGGGAAAAGCUCAAA